rnacentral:rRNA from 1 species
UAGCAGUAGGGAAUCUUCCACAAUGGGCGAAAGCCUGACGGAGCAACGCCGCGUGAGUGAUGAAGGGUUUCGGCUCGUAAAACUCUGUUAUUAGGGAAGAACAAAUGUGUAAGUAACUGUGCACGUCUUGACGGUACCUAAUCAGAAAGCCACGGCUAACUACGUGCCAGCAGCCGCGGUAAUACGUAGGUGGCAAGCGUUAUCCGGAAUUAUUGGGCGUAAAGCGCGCGUAGGCGGUUUCUUAAGUCUGAUGUGAAAGCCCACGGCUCAACCGUGGAGGGUCAUUGGAAACUGGGAAACUUGAGUGCAGAAGAGGAAAGUGGAAUUCCAUGUGUAGCGGUGAAAUA